rnacentral:tRNA from 1 species
ACUCUUCUAGUAUAACAAAUACAACCGACUUCCAAUCCGUUAAUUCUGGCUCAAACCCAGAGAAGAGUA